ACGACAAGAAUCAGACAAGAACCACGAGAUCUGUUCUUGUUCUCACCUAAGUUAAGCAAUGUUGGGCCCGGUCAGUACUUGGGCGGGUGACCACCUGGGAACACCAAGUGCUGUAGGCU